rnacentral:misc_RNA from 1 species
CCUAAUAUUUGCACCGGUCUCGAUACAGAUACCUGUUUGAUCGGCCUAAUCUUGUCAGACGAGGGGUGAUGCGCGGGAUUAAACCGUCAUCCAGCAAGCCCAAAUGUCACACAGCCACACGACUCCAAUUUCAAGUUAAAUAGGGGAUGAACGUUUGGGUUUAAGAAUCAUCUGUGCAACGAUUUCUAACUUAUUUGUCACAGCUGGUAGAUUUGGGCUAGCUGUCUCCCCUCGCGACAGUAAGUGGACUGUUCCAGGUAUACAAGCUCAUAAACCAUUCUUCCGGCUCGGACUGUCUGGAUGGUGCAGUGAGUGGAGGGGAGCAGGGAAAACUUCUUAGUCCCGCUUUAUUUUCAUUCUGUGCAAAUAAGUUUACAUACUCCCAGUUGGAUUUACCUUUUACCUAUAGGGACUUAUACACUGGAUAUUAUCACACACCGCAGAACACAAGACAGUCAGAGCCUGUCAGCAACAUUGGCGGAGUGACGAGGUGAGAGCAGACGACGCCAAUGACCCUGGCAGUGUGAGGACCUAACCUCGAAAAUGAUGUCAACCGGAAGUGUUUGGUCCAUGACCUUGGUGGUGUUGGUUGCGCUGUGCUUGGUGUCGCACGUCACGGGUGACGGCAUGUGGGACCAGUGGAGUGACUUCUCCCCUGCUCCAGGUCCUGCGGUGGAGGCGUCCAGUCGCGCACGCGGGGCUGCAUACACAAGGGCUCUGGUAAGGGCAUGGGAUGUGUUGGUCCAGACCAUGAAUAUUCUUCCUGCAGCACAGAUCCAUGCCCACGGGAUUCUGAAGACUUUCGUAGCAUGCAGUGUGCCAAGUUUAACCAGCUCCCAAUGAUCCUGAACGGUUACGCUAGGAAAUACGACUGGGUGCCUCACUUUGAUGAGAAGAACCGCUGUUCUCUGAAGUGUCAUGCGUUGGGCACAUCGGUGGUGCGUGACCUGGAGGAGAUGGUGACAGACGGAACGCAGUGUGACAGUCCAGAACACUUCGGCAUCUGUGUCGGGGGAGUCUGCCAGACUGUUGGGUGUGACCGUGUGAUUGGCUCGGUGAUGGAUGAGGACCGGUGCCGUGUGUGCGGAGGGGAUGGCAGUGCGUGCCUCACGGAGAAGGGGGCCUUCACACAGGAUAAUCUAAAUGUAGGCUACCAUGAGAUCCUCACCAUUCCAGAGGGGUCCACAAGCAUCGCAAUCAAAGAGAUGAAACCAAGCUAUUCUUACCUAGCCCUGAAGAAUUCUAAAGGAAUGUACUACAUCAAUGGUGGCCGAGACCAGACAUCCCAGAAAGCUUUUGCAGGGACCAUCUUCCAGUACUACAGUGCUGAGAAUAAGGACGACAAAGUGGAGUCAAUCCUUUCAAGAGGUCCUACAAAUGAGACUCUUAUUGUCAUGCUUGUUGCAAGAGAUGGAAAUCCGGGUAUAAAGUAUGAAUACUCAAGUCCACAGUCUCUGGUAGAUAAGGCCAAUCCCACUGACAGGUUCACAUGGGUGUAUGGACACUGGACAAGGUGCUCAGAAGAGUGUGGCUCAGGGUAUCAACUCAGAGCUGUGUCAUGCAUGGAUCGACAGUCAGGGCAGACGGUCCACACUAGGUCAUGUGAUCUACUCGAGCGACCCCGUGCUAACCAAACCUGCAACAUGGGGUCGUGUGCUGAAGACAGGACAAAUGGAUACAGCUGGGUGUUGGGCCACUGGGACGAGUGUUCCAUCAGCUGUGGGGUGGGGGAACAGACCCAGCUGGCCUACUGUCAGGAGAAGGGCACCAUGGGACAAACCAUCUUCGUGUCUGAUGACAUCUGUCUGAGGUACCUAGGGGAGAAGCCCAAGUACAAGCGAGUGUGUGAAGGAGAGAGCGGUUGUCCCAGAUGGGCCACGGGGGCAUGGAAUGAGUGUGGUGUGACCUGUGGCUAUGGAUACCAGACCCGGCGUGUGUAUUGCCAGCGGGACUCUGAUGGGGAGCAACCCACUACAGUGCCAGACUCGGAGUGCCGAGAUGCAGACAAACCAGAGGGCAGGAAACGAUGUUUGCUGAGUUCGUGUCCGGGUGGAAGAGAUGGCAUACUGAAGGAGCUUGAGGGGAGGCCAAUCUCUCCACUGCCAGUGCAGUGUUCAGCCACCCGGUAUGGGUGUUGUCCUGAUGGGGUGACUGCUGCACAGGGGCCCAACUACCGCAACUGUCCCAUUGCCAGGAAAAUCGAUCGGUGUAAACUGGAACGAUCCCGAGGACCGUGUGCAAAUUACACAUUAAAGUGGUACUAUGAUGACCAGGCUAGCAUGUGUAAUAUGUUUUGGUACGGAGGAUGUGGUGGAAAUGACAACCGAUUUGAAAAGGAGGAUGAAUGUGAAUCUACCUGUGUAGCCAACGAUGGCACAGGUGGUGCUCCGUGCAGCCCAGGCAGUUCAAGAUGUCGGAACAUUGAGAAGUGCAUCCCUGAUACACGGCUCUGUGAUGGCUUCAAUGAUUGUGGGGACAAUUCUGAUGAAGAAGACUGCCAGACAAUAGAAGCCAACAAGCAGUGCGGAACAGGUCAAUCUAUGUGUAGCAGUAUUCGGAAAUGUGUGGCUGACUCUCAACGGUGUGAUGGACACGAUGACUGUGGGGACAACUCCGAUGAAGACGGCUGUCAGAGCACAGAUGGAAGGGAUGAGUGUAGUCCUGGCUCCUCCAUGUGUCGACGCAUCAGGAAGUGUGUGUCUGACUCACAGAGGUGUAAUGGUCAUGACGACUGUGGGGAUAAUUCAGAUGAGGAAGACUGUGUAACCAAUGGUACUGGUGCUCAAGUUUGGUGUCAAUCAGUGUGGGACUGGAUCCUCCACAUGUCGCCGAGUCAGGAAAUGUGUGGCAGAUUUACGUCGGUGUGACGGAUACGAUGACUGUGUCGAUAACUCUGAUGAAGAAAACUGUCAGACUUAUAUGGAAGAAACCGUCAGAAAUCCAUGUGGUCGUGGAAGAUCUAUGUGUCGUAGUGUCAGAAAAUGUGUGGCCGACUCACAGCGUUGUGACGGAUUUGACAAUUGCGGGGAUAACUCUGAUG